AUAUUUAAGAUUUUUCAACUUUGGGGGUUUUGUUUGUUUUUUUACUCCAUAGAAAUAACUGAAUUUCCUAACUUGCUUUAAUUUCAUGUUUAUUUAAUUUAAAUGUCUUUCUUCAUAUUAAGUGGUCUUUUUGUUUUAAUGAAACAAGCCCCCACUGGUUCCUCACCUAUUUUCUCCCUCAGGAUUACUUUUAGUCUGGAGACAGAGGGGACCCGAUGGUGUCCUUGGCAUAAGUACAGGAGUAGAAACAUAAGAAUUAAUUUGCAAAAGGGAUAGCCGAGGAGCCCCUGCACGUGCUCAGUGAGUUCUGGCAACCCAUUUUUAAUGCAAACUUUUAACAAAUGGGAAGGAAUAGUACGCCUUUUUAAAUUCAUGAACUAAGUUAAAAAUCAAAAGUAAAAGCUCCCUUUAUAAACCACUGCUGACUGAAGGAAGGAUGGUAGUUUAUGCGCUGGUAUACAUACUAACAUGGAUACACACAUAUCGUAAAAUAACCUUAUCUAUUUCCAGGGUAAUUAGAAUAAUGUUUAACUUUCUUUUGAUAUUACUUUGUAAGGAAAUAUACAAAUGUUUUAGGGAUCAUGGGAUCUAUUCCAGAGGAAACUAACCAACAAUGAACAACUUCUACUAAAACUACCCCUGGAUGUAAUGGUUGCAUGCAUCAUUCCUUUAAUUGAGCAGAGUUAACUGGAUCAAAUUAUUUAUGGGAGAGAGAGGGAAAGCUAUACAGAAUUACAGUAAUUUUAAAUUUCCACCAAUAUACUCUUUACUGAUUGUAUCUGCCCAUGAGCAAAGGAAACCUGAAGGAACCAAGGGCCUGGCUGGACGGAGUUGUCAUGUGUCUGCCUGUCUACACUUGCUGUGCAGAACAUCCGCUCACCUGUACAGCAGGCACAGACAGGCAGUCACAUGACAACCCAGCCUGAAUGACAACCAGCCAUUGAAAGAAAGCAGCCCUCACACCAUAGCAUCUACACCAAGAGCUACAACCAAAAUGAGGGGCGCGGGGGCCUGGGGUUUUAAUUUGUUGGUUUCUUAACUCUUAUGUAUUAUUAUUAUUUUUGAUUCAAAUAUUGAAACCCACCAAAAGUAAAGUGAGUGGUGCUUAUGAAAUAUAA